UCUAGAUCUACAAUUCUAUUUUCAAUUUCUUUAAAUAUUAUAUAAUAUGUUCAUUGCUACUGAAAAAUAAAUCUUCUGAACUGUUUCUUACGGUUAUAAUAACUUUUUACAAUUUGAAUUUGGCGCCUUGUAGAUGUGUCCGUAACUUUUACGAAAGGGUAAAUUUAUGCAAACGCCGUUAGCGUUUAACUGACUCUGAUCGGUUAAUAACUGAUCCCCCGCAAUGACGUCAUCGCAAGCACUUGGCUGUAGCUUGGCUGAUAAUCUUGGCUGUUAACCCAGAAAUGAGUUGCUAUUAUACCUCCAUGCCAUAUUUCGCCUGUCAAAAUUUAUAAACUGUUGUUCACAACACCAAAAGCUGGGAGAUAUUACGUGAAACGUGAACUGUGUAAGAUAUGAAUCUAAUGUGAAUGGGCAGAGGCACAGGGAAAAUGGUCAAAACACAGUAAGUCAAUGAGUAUGUUGUUUACUUUUUACUGUUUAUUUUCUUUUUGGAAUGUAAAGUUAUACUGGUAUUUGUAUUGUUGUAGUAUAAACUUAUUGAAAAUACCUGGAAAUGGUUACGUAUAACACAUACAGUAUAUAUAUGUUUCCCACAUUAUAUUUAUAAUAAUAUUAAAACUCAACUUUUUCACUCUUUUUUUGUAAAAACACAAUCCUUUUAUAAUAUGAAUAGGCACAUUUACUGCUUCCUAGUGAAAUGGAGAAUAUAUUACAGCUUAAAUUCAACAUAAAGCCCUCUUCUUCAACAUGCCAACCGAUUCAUAUAAAAUCUGCAAAAUAAUGGAUAAGAUUAGGUUUUUGGUGGAUGACCCAUUAAGUUUGUGGGUGAGACUUAACAUUUUUAAAGGUUUUUACUUAAAUACUCUAUAUAUCUAUCAAGAAGUUCUACCUGUUCUCAUAAAAUAUCAGAAAAUUAUAUUUUCUUUUUCACAUGUUUUAAGACAAUUUUUUCAUGAUUUAGACAGCCAUGACAAAUAAUGUUUCAGUGAUUUCCAUGAAUGAUCAAGGCCUAGGCGACAGAGCUAAACGUAGAGAUGUUAUUAAUUUCUUUAAAAGUAAAAAGUACUCAAUAUGUAUGUUACAAGACACUCAUUUCACAAAUAAAGAAGAAAAGUAUAAACGGUCCAUAUGGGGAUAUGAUACCUACUUUUCUAAUUUCAAUAGUCAAUCUCGGGGUGUUGCAAUAUUUAUCAACAAUAAUUUUGAUUGUAAAGUAAAUAAUAUCGAGGUAAUUUGCUUAUUCUGAACUGUAAAAUAUGCGAUAAAGAUAUCACUCUACUAAAUAUUUACGGACCAAAUAGAGGCAACCCAAAUUUUUGGUUUCAGAGAAAAUGUCACAAUUCAAUAAUACUUUAUAUAUUCUUGCUGGAGAUUUCAACAUGGUACUUAAUCCUGAUAUAGAUUGUUUUAAUUACUUACACUUAAACAAUCCAAAUGCACGUGAUAAGCUACACAGUUUAAUGUCAGAGUUUAACCUAAUGGAUUGCUGGAGAGAAAAUAACUUGGAAAAAAGGGAAUAUACAUGGUUUAGACAAAAUCCAAUAAAAAAGGCACGUCUUGACUUUUUCCUAAUGUCAGAUACUUUAUAUACCGACAUUGACAAAACUUUAAUUUUACCUGGGUAUCGUACAGAUCAUUCACUUAUUUCAAUGUCACUAGAAUUUGGUAAAUUUAAAAAAGGGCGGUAUUACUGGAAAUUUAAUAAUUCCCUCUUAAGAGAUGAAAAAUACAUAAAUGAAGUGAAAAAUAUUA